rnacentral:lncRNA from 1 species
UGACAAUUAUGGUUAAAUAAACUUUCCUAGGCCUCUGAACUUAUCAUUGACUCUGUCUCCUUUGUAACUCUGCUCUCCUCUUCCCAGAUGACUGGCCAUCUGGAUGCUGUAGUGUCAGGGGAAGUACACAAAGCAGCCUUCCCCAUUCCGUGUGAGAAGACUGACAUUCUCUGCACUUAAAGGCAAAGAUGCUUGCAUCAAAUUUACCGAAUAAGGCACAGACUCACUUCAGGACCCUGUGUCCCAUUGUUCCUUCUAUAUUUGGAAGACUAAACUAAGAGAGUUCUGAUAAUGGACCAAGGGAUACACCAUCUAUGACGUUAUUAUUAACACAAAUGGGUUAAAUAAGAGGAAAAAUAAUUUAUCAUCUGUGUCCCUCGCAGGCAAACAGGAAAUCCUUCUGAUAGUUAUCUGGCCAGCAUGACUCAGCAUGGCUGUGACUCAUCUUCCAUUCCCUGGUGUAUUUCUAAUGUGUACCCAUAGUGUGAGUCCAUGGAGGCUGCCAGGUUUUUGUAAUCCCUCUUCUACCCCUACCCUCAACCUCCCAGGCAGCCUGAGAUCUGACAAAGAGAAGUUAAAAAACGCAAAUAUUCCAAAUCAGUGACUGGAAAAAGUGAUAUCACAAGCGAAACAAGAAUCCAGUCCAUAGGCCAAGACUGCUAUCUCUCUCUCUUUUUUUUUUUUUUUUUUGAGAUAGAGUCUCGCUCUGUUGCCCAGGCUGGAAUGCAGUGGCGCGAUAUUGGCUGACUGCAAGCUCCGCCUCCCGGGUUCACGCCAUUCUCCUGAGUAGAGUAGCUGGGACUACAGGCGACCGCCACCACACCCAGCUAAUUUUUUUGUAUUUUUUUUAGUAGAGACGGGGUUUCACCGUGUUGGCCUGGAUGGUCUCGAGCUCCUGACCUAGCUACCUGCCUGCCUCAGCCUCCCAAAGUGCUGGGAUUACAGGGGUGAGCCACCACGCCCGGCCCAAGUCUGCUAUCUCUAUUCCAACAAGGGAAGUCUUUGGGGCCUGGAAUAUAGCAUGACAAUUUGCAUUCAGACCACUGUCUCCAAAAAUGUCAUCACAGAAAGCUAUCUUGCAAACCACAGUCAUAUUUUCUAAUGAAAAUUGCCACAGCUGCUCUGACCUCCAGCGACCACCACCCUGAUCAAUCAGCAGCCUUUAGCACUGAGGCCACACUAUCCACCAGCAAAGAUAUUAGAUUAAGACUCACUGAGGCUCAGAUGAUCAGUAGCAUUUUUCAUCUGCAUCUUGUUAUUGUGCCGCGAGAAAUAGCAGCCUGACCCUCAGUUUGAUCCGGGAUAAAAAUUUGGCACACAAGCCAGGAAUUAAGGACAGUGCUGCAUUCAGCGGCUGGCAACUUGCUAUGAGACAGUCUUCAGGAGGAUCCCAGAAGCUGCUGGGUGAGGUUUCCCCCGGGACCCUCCAGAGGGCUGUUGUGCGCAAAUCUGCAUGUCCUUUUCACUACUGAGGAGAAACAGAGAUCAGGAGCAGAUGCGCUCAAAGGAGUCAAGGAAGCUUUUCUUUUGUGCUAUUAACAGAUUUUAACAAUUAAGUAAAGUAUACUCCUAUGAACAAAAUUUGGAGCAUAUUUGUUUCUCUCUGCCUUGUCCCUCUAGAAUUUGGAAACUAUCUGUGAGUAUUCUUAAUUUAUGGCAAUAUAGUUAUUUGCAUAAGUGCAAUAAAAAUCUGUUUUCUUUUGUAACAUGUCACAAUUGGAACACCUGGUUAUUUUAAC